UUUUUUUUCAUGUGACCGGGGGGGAAAUAGGCUGCCUUUUAAUAAAUGUCACCGAUCUAUCUAUUGAGCUGCUAGCACAUCGUUUUCUUCUUUUAACGAAUGAUAUCGUGUCUUGCCAGGACAAAGCGCAGAUGAUUGUAUUUAUGACAAUCAUGAAGCCCUUGGCAUUGCUGACACUUCUGCUCAUCACGAGUGGUUCUGCAGUGGGGCAAAUGUUGAAAUCUAAUGUGACUGGCUAUGUUGGAAAGGAUGUACUUUUAUCAUUUAACUGUUCUAAAGACCCUAAAGAGCUGAUAUGGCAGAAAGGUGAGAGAUUAGUGAAUGUUCAUUCACAAGACAAAAUCACCAUAGAUGAUUCCUACGUGGACAGGACACAACUCUUCAUAAACAUGGAGAAGAGAAACUGUUCCCUACUGCUCCGCAACAUCUCUACAGCAGAUGCAGGACUGUACACCUGUUAUGCCAUAGACACUGUUGAUAACAAGGUCUGGACAAAGGAGUCUACAGAAGUUAAUUUAACAGUGGAGAUCAACCCUGAAAAAAGCGUCCAAACUGAAGAAGAAUCUGACACAGCUGUCCCUGUUAGUGUUCCCAUAGCGGUAGUACUGCUUAUACUGGCUGUUAUCCUGCUUCUAAUCCUACUGAUCAGAAGACAACAUCGGACACGCACGGACACUGAUUUACCGGCUGAGAAACCUAUGCUACAGAAUGUGUGAAGUGCUCUUGCUUGACAGUUUAAUGGACUUACUUCUAUGUUGUAAUGCAAGGUCCUUCACAACAACAACAAUGGACAAUAAGAGGCCUUAGCCCUAAACAAAUGCGUUCGCAUGUGGGCAUUACACAAUGGUGCGUGCUGAUCCGUCUCACUUUGAGACAGAUUAAUGUUCAGUUUUCAGUUGUAACACUGUUACUUGUUUACCACUGAAUUGUGAAUACACUGCGGAUAUACAUUCAGUAGGCAUUACAGUUUUGUAAUUUGACAAGAUUCUCCUUGUAGGAACUGUCUUUAUUCAUUCUUUGAAGAACAGAUGUGAGGGGUAGGGGACAUGCAGUUUGUAUUUUGCCUUUUCCUCUCUCUUUGAGACAAACUGGUGGUCUCAAUCCUAAACAAGCUUUCCAAAUAAUUUUAUUUUAUUGUUCAUAUGUGUACAGCAAUCAUUUACUAAGCACUCAUCAUGCAAGCUUCUUUACAUUUACUCUUGAAUUGGUUGUUUUACUCAGCCUGUGCUGAUUUCAUUUAUGUGGAAGAAAUAAUAUGGCACUCCCUAUGGGAUAUAUUUGCUUUUUUUACUGUACUAAAUUUCAUUUACUUUUAAAUGAAUUCUGUAAAGUGCUUCAAACCUGUCAAGGCAAUAAACCUUUUACAUAUACAGUUUUUCUUUGUAGUACGGCCUCCUUUUUUACUAAAGUUUAAGUACUAUAAUGCUGCUCGCUCUGAAUGACUUCCAACCUAAACCAGGGCAUUUAGCACAUUAUUUUGCUGACAUAGGGUUUAGGUCAAAUUUUCCAACUAGAAUUUUUGUAUUCUCGGCUGUUGCGUAACAGUGUGGUUUUUAUUCAGUCCAGAUUCCAAAACUCAGCCAGCAUGAAAGAAUGAUCUUUUGUUCCCUGUCUCAAAAUUUUUGGAUUCUUUCCACUGGUUUACUUUCAGUUUCUAUAUGACUUUGCAACUAUAAUUGACACAUUUCCAUGUCUUGAAUGAAGUAGUUAGAAUGCACUAAAUGCAAUGAUUAGAAGAAACACUCCUCUAGUACCAUAUGAUUUUUAGUGAGACAUUCAUAAACAUAUAAAAAUAUUUAGAUAUCUUUCACUGUUAUAAACUGAUCAUUCAAAACAAUUUUUUAUAACUUGCAUGACUGAAGCUUUACAACCUGUAAGAGACUCUGCUGCAGUUGUGUUUGUGAGAUGUUAAAGAUAAAAUAAAUACCUGCUGUAGUUUAUAGCUGGACAUCAAUGGGCACUUCCUGCUUGUAAUGAGGUCAAGAAUUUACCCUGUUUUCUCUGUUGGACUGUAUCAUGGCA
ensembl:lncRNA